UGGGGAAUUUUGGACAAUGGGGGAAACCCUGAUCCAGCCAUCCCGCGUGUGCGAUGAAGGCCUUCGGGUUGUAAAGCACUUUUGGCAGGAAAGAAACGUCAUGGGUUAAUACCCCGUGAAACUGACGGUACCUGCAGAAUAAGCACCGGCUAACUACGUGCCAGCAGCCGCGGUAAUACGUAGGGUGCAAGCGUUAAUCGGAAUUACUGGGCGUAAAGCGUGCGCAGGCGGUUCGGAAAGAAAGAUGUGAAAUCCCAGAGCUCAACUUUGGAACUGCAUUUUUAACUACCGGGCUAGAGUGUGUCAGAGGGAGGUGGCAUUCCGCGUGUAGCAGUGAAAUGCGUAGAUAUGCGGAGGAACACCGAUGGCGAAGGCAGCCUCCUGGGAUAACACUGACGCUCAUGCACGAAAGCGUGGGGAGCAAACAGG
rnacentral:rRNA from 1 species